CCUACGGGUGGCAGCAGUGGGGAAUAUUGCGCAAUGGGCGAAAGCCUGAAGCAGCAACGCCGCGUGAGGGAUGAAGGUCUUCGGAUCGUAAACCUCUGUCGGCAGGGAAGAAAGUUCCCUUUUCUAAUCAGCAAUGAAUUGACGUUACCGGCACAGGAAGCACCGGCUAACUCCGGGCCAGCAGCCGCGGUAAUACGGAGGGUGCGAGCGUUAAUCGGAAUUGCUGGGCGGAAAGAGCUCGUAGGCGGUAUGUCAAGUCAGAGGUGAAAUCCCCGGGCUAAACCUGGGAACUGCAUUUGAGACUGGUAGACUGGAGUGUGGGAGAGGGAAGUGGAAUUCUAGGUGUAGGGGUGAAAUCCGUAGAGAUCGGGAGGAAUAUCCGGGGCGAAGGCGACUAGCUGGAACAUAACUGACGCUGAGGAGCGAAAGCGUGGGGAGCAAACAGGAUUAGAUACCCCUGUAGUC
rnacentral:rRNA from 1 species